rnacentral:rRNA from 1 species
GAAAGAAAGAUUAAUACCCGAUGGCAUAGUUCUUCCGCAUGGUAGAACUAUUAAAGAAUUUCGGUCAUCGAUGGGGAUGCGUUCCAUUAGGUUGUUGGCGGGGUAACGGCCCACCAAGCCUUCGAUGGAUAGGGGUUCUGAGAGGAAGGUCCCCCACAUUGGAACUGAGACACGGUCCAAACUCCUACGGGAGGCAGCAGUGAGGAAUAUUGGUCAAUGGACGAGAGUCUGAACCAGCCAAGUAGCGUGAAGGAUGACUGCCCUAUGGGUUGUAAACUUCUUUUAUACGGGAAUAAAGUGAGGCACGUGUGCCUUUUUGUAUGUACCGUAUGAAUAAGGAUCGGCUAACUCCGUGCCAGCAGCCGCGGUAAUACGGAGGAUCCGAGCGUUAUCCGGGUUUAUUGGGUUUAAAGGGAGCGUAGGCGGACGCUUAAGUCAGUUGUGAAAGUUUGCGGCUCAACCGUAAAAUUGCAGUUGAUACUGGGUGUCUUGAGUACAGUAGAGGCAGGCGGAAUUCGUGGUGUAGCGGUGAAAUGCUUAGAUAUCACGAAGAACUCCGAUUGCGAAGGCAGCCUGCUGGACUGUAACUGACGCUGAUGCUCGAAAGUGUGGGUAUCAAACAGGAUUAGAUACCCUGGUAGUCCACACAGUAAACGAUGAAUACUCGCUGUUUGCGAUAUACAGUAAGCG